AUUAAACGCUGGCGGCAUGCCUUACACAUGCAAGUCGAACGGCAGCACGGGGGCAACCCUGGUGGCGAGUGGCGGACGGGUGAGUAAUACAUCGGAACGUGCCCUGGAGUGGGGGAUAACGUAGCGAAAGUUACGCUAAUACCGCAUAUUCUGUGAGCAGGAAAGCAGGGGAUCGCAAGACCUUGCGCUCUGGGAGCGGCCGAUGUCGGAUUAGCUAGUUGGUGGGGUAAAGGCCUACCAAGGCGACGAUCCGUAGCGGGUCUGAGAGGAUGAUCCGCCACACUGGGACUGAGACACGGCCCAGACUCCUACGGGAGGCAGCAGUGGGGAAUUUUGGACAAUGGGCGAAAGCCUGAUCCAGCCAUGCCGCGUGAGUGAAGAAGGCCUCGGU
rnacentral:rRNA from 1 species